AACGAACGCUGGCGGCGUGCCUAACACAUGCAAGUCGAACGAGAAAGGGGCUUCGGCUCCGAGUAAAGUGGCGCACGGGUGAGUAACACGUGGGUAACCUGCCUCUAAGAUUGGGAUAACUCGUCGAAAGAUGAGCUAAUACCGAAUAAGACCACAGUUCCCGCGGGAACAGGGGUCAAAGGUAGCCUCUGCUUGCAAGCUAUCACUUAGAGAUGGGCCUGCGCACCAUUAGCUAGUUGGUAGGGUAACGGCCUACCAAGGCAAAGAUGGUUAGCUGGUCGGAGAGGAUGAUCAGCCACACUGGAACUGAGACACGGUCCAGACUCCUACGGGAGGCAGCAGUGGGGAAUAUUGCGCAAUGGGCGAAAGCUUGACGCAGCAACGCCGCGGGAGUGAUGAAGGCCGUCGGGUCGUAAAGCUCUGUCGGGAGGAACGAAUGCUCCUGAGGUUAACAGCCUCGGGAGGUGACGGUACCUUCAAAGGAAGCACCGGCUAACUCUGUG
rnacentral:rRNA from 1 species